rnacentral:rRNA from 1 species
UAUGAUGUGUGCCAGCAGCCGCGGUAAUACGGAAGGUCCGGGCGUUAUCCGGAUUUAUUGGGUUUAAAGGGAGCGUAGGCCGGAGAUUAAGCGUGUUGUGAAAUGUAGAUGCUCAACAUCUGCACUGCAGCGCGAACUGGUUUCCUUGAGUACGCACAAAGUGGGCGGAAUUCGUGGUGUAGCGGUGAAAUGCUUAGAUAUCACGAAGAACUCCGAUUGCGAAGGCAGCUCACUGGAGCGCAACUGACGCUGAAGCUCGAAAGUGCGGGUAUCGAACAGG